ACUGCUCGCAGCCUCUUUCCGAGCCUCUCCCCCCUGCUCCAUUUCCCCAUCCUUGAAGGGGGUGCUGGGAGGUGUUUGCAAGGCUUUUUUUUUUUUUCUUUUUUUUUUCUUCCCUUCCCCCCUCCCCCUUUGCUAAAUAAAUUAAAAGCAGAGAUGUCUCCUGAUGGAGAUGGAUGAGGCUGGGCUUACAGCAAUGGGGUCGCUUCGCUUGCAUGCACUGCCGCAGCCUUGAUCUGCGGAGCAAGGCUUUGCUGCUGAUGGCAGAAGUGACCUUUCCCAGGCGGUGGGAGAAAGGCUUCCCCUCGCCCCGACGUGCUUCUGCUUGGAAUUCAUUUUAAAUAGCAGCGUUAUUAUUUUUUAUCCACCCCCACCCCCCCCAACAGCUUGCUGUUUCAAUGUUUUUUUUUUUUUUCUUUCGGUAGCCUGUGGGUUGAAGCUUCCUCAUGAUCGUUUUUUGUGUGUGUGUGUGUGUGUGCGCUUUGAAUUGCAUUUUAAAAUUGCCCAGCUGGAGACAAGUCUUGAUUAGAGCUGGAACAAUAGCUCCAUUUUAUUAAUAAUGGGAAGGAUUUACAAUUCUACAGCACCUUCCUUGGAAGGCUUUCAAAAUCAUUUGCAAACACACACAUAUUUAAGCUUUCACAGCUCUGCCUGUGAGGUGGGUAAGUAUUUUAAUGGUGCCACCAAAAAUCACGUAGACCUGGAAUCGGUGGCAAAUCUCUAUUUCUGAGUGCUAGAAUAAUGACAGAUCUGGUGGGGUUUAGGGCUGCAAAGCUGGGAGGGGGUAGGUUGGUAUGCGGGAUGGCUAAAAGCUGUAACCUAAAUCUGUUUAGCGUUCUCUGUAGAUGGAUUUUGCUGUGUCCUGGGAACUGGGCUGUUAUUUCUCACCCUGCUCCACGCAAGUGACCCUUCCUUCUUGCUCUUUGCCGGAGUGAAGAUGUGGACUUGCCUGCUUGUCAGUAAACAUCUGCUUAUAGAUUUUUUUUGUCUUUAAUUCAUUACCUUUUUGUAGUCCCCAGGUGACCUCCUGUAGUGCUGGCUCCACUGUGGUUUGACCACAGCUUUGCAUUAAAGCAGGCUGUGAGCACUAAUGUGUCUGUGCAAGCCAGAAUGACCUUGCCGGGGGGACUGGGCCCACCAAGCUAAUGCAGAUGCUCCGCUUCGAUUACACAACCCUGCGUGCAGCUUUUUUCUGCACAUCCCUUCCCUGACCCAGGUAGCACAGGGGGCUGUUGCAAUGCUAUGGGUGAAAGCUGUCUUCUGCCAUAAUUUUUUUUUUCCUCCUAGGGAAGUGCAAGGUUAUUUGUGUAAUUCCCACUCCACGGUAGAUACCUUCUCUGUAAGUACUGUAAACAUGCAGCGAUCCAAGAGCCAUCGGGGCAGUUGGACCUGGCCUUGCCAAGGACUGUAAGGCACAGUGGUCUGGUUGUGUGUGUGCUGUACACUGGCCACAGAAAGCCACAAUGUUUCUGUGGUUACUUCUGUCUGGAUAGCAUGAGUAGGUCCCAGGGCUUCCCCUUCCCACCACUUACUGUUUCACAAAAGAAAAGGCCGGUGCUUCUGGAAAAAGCUCUGCCUUGUGGGCUUUAAAAAUAAACAAACAAAAAAGGAAUAAAGAAAAACUGCUGGGGAUUAGUCAUCUUUAUUGUUAAAGGAGGCUGUGUUUGCUGGUCCUAUCUAUGUAACGCAAGUGCAUGUGAGAUAUUAGCUAUUAGCUCUAUUUGUGAAGGCUGGUAAUGUGCUCUGGUCACUGCUCUUUGGAGUUGUGCCACCAAGGCUCCAUCAGGCUGCUGCUGGCAGGUGGAAAAACUGACAGGCUGGCUUUUCAUACCCUUCCAUCCAUUUUCCCUUUUCACUGCCAAUAUCUCUGCAUUGGCAGGUGUGGAAACACAGAGGCUGUAACAACAGCAAGUGAGGAUAGAUGAGCUGUCUUCUAGGGUCCAAUGCCAGGGAAGAAACCCCGGUGUAUUUUUUUUUCUUGCCUAUGGUGGCUUUUACUCUAAGCCCAAUUGACUGUAUCUCGGGAGAAGACUGAGUUUGAUCCUUUUGGAUGCUAAAAUCGGUGCUGUUCUUAAUCCUUUGUUUUUUCCCCUUCCCCAUAGUCACACAGAAGAGCGAGCCAUGCAAUUAAAAUGGGAUAGCAAAGGACAGCUCCCUCCCCCUUUCCCCUUUCAAAAAACCUUCCAGAGUUGUGUGCUCUUGAACUGCUGCAUAGGCAGAAAACAUACAAUGCAGUUGUCAGCAUUGUGCUGAUGUGUGGCACAUUAAAAAAAAAACACACACACACACAAAAGGGGUGGGGAGAGCGGGCGCCUCCAGGGAGUAAAACUGUGGGGCCCCUUUCCCUACAAGUGAACAGACCUACGUGCAAUAGUAUAUUACUCCUAAUUUUGCUCAGGCAAAUGCAAUGCGCGGACGUCAGAGGGAGGGUUGCAACAUGCUAAAUUGUGUUGCUGAAGAUCAGGGUCCCCUUGAACUAUUUUUUCUGUGAACUUGCUCCCAGGAGAUGCUGCGGCUUCAUUACUUGAUUCCUCAAGGUUGUGCUUGCUCACCAGGAAGAAGGGAAAUAGUUCCUUACUGGGUGCAAUUUCUUUUGUUGUGUUGCAAAAUGUAAUAAAAAGCACCUGGUUCUGGUCUCUCCUAGGUCGUGCAUGACUUCAGCAGGCAGAGCCCUAGCGGUUACUAGUGAGCAAGGAGAGCAGGCUGGCACACCCUGUGGGACUCAGAAUUACUUUUCCUUGGCAGUUUGGGACAACUAAGUGAGUUACCUUUUGAGUACUGAACUUUUACCGCCCCAUGCUUUGGACUGAAGAGUUACUAGAACUACAUCCGCGAGGUUUCCAAGCUAAACAAAACCUGAAUUUCUGGUGCCAAAAAGCAAGCGAGUGAUAGAAACCUCCACUCCUCCUCCAUAAAGGGGGAAACCACAGCCUUUCCAGCUUUCCUAUUAUAGCGAGGAGUUAAAAAGGCAUAAAGAUGCAUCGUGAGGUCUGCAGAGCUAGUGGUAGGGUAAAAUGAAAGCCAAAGCUAGACAAUAAACUGUUCUGUGCUAUAUUGCUGGAGAGGAUUUAAGAUGCGACUGCUCUCGAUGUGCAAGCACUUUUCUUCUGUGCCUUUUCCUUGAAGUGAGAGUGAUCAUGGCAUGGACGUGCCCAGUCUGCUUCGUUUAAAACACAGUUACAUCGCUUCGGUAUCAAAAUGUCGUUUGGUGAAACAAAAGCGCUGAUGUUGGCUGGCUUGCGAUUUAUUUUCUGCUGGGUGUGCCGAUCAAUCAGAUGGGGAAUGUGGGGAAGAGCAGCCUUCAACUCACAGGGCUGGACUGUGUUCUUUGUGUUAAACUCUUGUCCCGCAGCAUCUUCAGCAUAAUUUCCGUGAUUCCUCCUGGGCAUUGCAUGUGGGGCCUUUUAUGUAGAGUUAAUGCACAUCAACGGGGUGUUAAAAAUGGCAACGUGCAGAAUACAGUGAUCUCUUCUGUCCGAAUGGUUUGGUUUGCUUUUAAAUCCUUUGCAGUGUGGGGCUGGCCUCCCCCCCAAACCCCCUCCCACUUUCUUUUCCCCUGAAGCGUCCUAUUUUGCAGCCUGGAAGACUGAAGUCCUCUGUUUGGUUGUUUAAAUACCCUGUGUUUGGGAAAAACGAGCAGGUACAGCUCCUCAUGUGGUUGCAGAGAUCUUUGGGGCCAAGGCAGAAGCUGGCACCUUGAUGUUUCUAUUUUUUUCCCUACGUUUCAUGAAAAAUUAGGUAUUAGUUCUAAUAUAUUUGCUACACAGUAAGCAAGAGUGAGCUCCUUUGCAGUCCUGUGAGUGCACGUGGUGUUUUGGUUGCGUGGCUUAGCAAUCGCUCUGUGCGGUGCUGAAACGUCUGUUUUUGUGUAGCAACGUAUUUUGGAAACAGAAGUGUGCUUUUAUAUAUAUACAAACGGGUUCACUGUACACCAAAUUCCAGGGGCUCCUGAGCUGUGUUUACUGUGCUGCAGAAGGUGGCUGAUGCUAACCCACUGGCUACAGUGGCAGUAUUUUGUGGCAGCUCCCAUCCCCAGCGCUGUGUGGGUAAGGACACCACCACCGGGUUUAGCUGGGAGCGGUGUUCGAAAAGGAAUCGCUAAAUUCUGGGUGCAACCAUUUCAGUGACUCGAAGGGAGCCUUCUGGACAGAGUUCUCACGUUUUGAAGGCUUGGAGCACUAACCCUCAAGGAGGCAAGAACCCAAAUCAAUAGCUUUAUUAAUACAAAUCCUAUGCUUUGUGUUGCUUAGGAUCCAGAACCGGGCUUCGUGUUCCAAGCGUUAUCGUAAAAACCAAUCUCCUCCAUCUUGGCAACACAUGAGCCCAAAUAUCAAACAGCACCAAUCCCUUCUUGGAGAAAAUUAUCCGUUGCAUAAAAUGUAAUGGGUAAGCAAUAAAAUUAGCCCGGUAAUUCAGGCUGGCUUAAAAAUGAGAUAAAAGCCUGGCUGGCAAUUUGAUAUUCAGCUGCCAUACUGUCACGUUAAUAAAUAUAGUCAAUGAGCAGGAAGGGCACGUAAAUACAUUUUCCAAUGGCAAGAUGGAGGCUGGAGCUGGCCAGCUCGAACAAAGCCGAGCUCCGAGCGUUCUUGGUGCUGUCUGAGAGCCCUGGGCUGAGUAACACAGCGUUUUCCUGUAAAAAGCAAAGCAAAGCUGGGUGCCUGCUGGACACUGGGGAUAAUUGCUGCGUGCCGUGACUGCGGCUGCUGCAAUCCUUGCAGGUCUCUGGUUGAUGCCGAUGUCCCCAGCUGCGGGGAGCAGCGUGACGCCUCCCUGCCCCAGCCCCAGCUGUGAGCUCCAGAGGCAGAGCCCUCGCUAAGCCAGACCCAAGCAUAGGAAGUCCUGGUCUUAGCAAAUAUAGCUCUGGUUGCUGUCCUUGUUCGGUAUCUAAUCUUCUUUAAAUGUUUGGCAAGCCGUCCCUGCAACACGUGGCAGUGCGCUCCACCACUUGGGUAAGACACAGUGUUAAAAAUGUUACGAACAUUAUGUUACAUGUUAAAAAUGUAUGAACUUGCCUUUUCAAGUGUUGUCUGCUCGCUCUGUGACGUGCCCUUCAAUUUAUUCACAUUUCCUCCUAGAUGCGAGGCUGUCUCUGGCUGUUCCUUCGCUUUUUGUAUGGACCCCAAGGAUGUUUUCUGAUUCUCCUGCCCUUUUUUUUCUCCAAACUGGAGAGCUGCUAACUUUAUUAGCUCCUUAUAUGGCAGCACCAUUUUCUCACGCCUUUAAUGGCUCUCUUUUGAUCUGUCCUGCUCUUGCUUUGCUUUUCUUGAUGUGAACACAGUGUUCAAGCUGAGAUGGGUUUAUAACCUGCUCCCUCAUUAAUAUCUGGCCUGGUAUUUUAAUCCUCUCCAAGUGGUGAUAAGAAACAUGCAGAUGUUUUAACUGAGUGUUUGACCGAGAUACCCGGAGAUAGCUGGGUUCUCGCUACACCUACCGCGUGUACGAGUAAUUAAAUUGUGCCUUGCCGUGUGCCCAACACUGCCCUGGUGUGUGCCGAAGGCCGAGAGGCAUCAGGUGGAGGAGAGCAGCCGGACUCUCCUCUUCGGCUCUUUGCCUCCCGCAUGGCAGUAGCACACCAGGGGUCCAGGGUUAUCUCAGCCCUUGGUGCUUGCCACCAGGUUCGUGUCGCCAGCAGUGCCGGGACCGUGGGCUGGCACGGGCGGCGUGAACACGUGUCCCUCCUGCGGUGACAAGGACAGCAGUGGUUGCUGCCACAUAAAGUUGGUCCUUUAUCGAGGUCCCUUUGGCCUCCUGAGAUGGAGGUUGUGCUCGCUCCUGUCUUGAGCUGAGCAUCAGCCUGUGUUCUUUAAAAUCUUAGAGUGAGCCGGAGGAAUCCCGUCACGGCGGCAUUGCCCAAGCUGCGUGUUGCAACUGGGAACAGUUUCCCCCCAAAAACAUAUGGAAAGUAUCAGAAUGGUCCAGGGCUUCGCUUUGCGUCAGGGGCCAGGGUUUGUGCUCUUCUUCCAGCUGGCUUUCAUGUAAAUGGAGCCUUUUAAGCACUGUUUUCAACCAUUUCUUCUGUCAACAGAGUCAAUGCCUUUGUUUGCCACAGCUCCUGGUCGGCCUGCAGACGUCCCUGCCGGCCAGCCUGCUCUCAGGAUCGUGGUGUGACAGCAGUGACCCCGCGAGAGGUUUCUUUGAAGGACCUGGGAGCCCGUGUGGCUUUCUCUUGUCCCUUGGAUGUGUUUCCCUGGCAGGGAGGGAGGGAAAAUGGUUGGAAGUGUUGCCUCAGCAAGCAUGCCCAGCUGGGGAGGGGAAAAUAUGGCAUCGAAAAGCUACUUGAUGCAUGGUUUGAGGGAAGGGGGGGGUUCUUUCCUCCCCAAAGUGGAUGCCUGUGGAGUGCUUAAAAAAGGUAUAGACAAGUAGUUCCUGCUCGUUGGGCUUUUGACCAGCUAAAACAAAGAGCUAAGCCCAUUUCCAUAGAGAAAUGUGUGGUGGAAAACUCUGGUGGAGUACAUUAGCAAUGCCUUUUUGUGUGUGUGUGUGGCUUGGUCACAUGCUUUAAAUAAUAAAUGGUUUGCAUUCAAAAGAUGGAUUUAUUUAUUUUUAAUCAGUAGAUCUCAGUUUGGCAGAGCAGUUUCACACCCGUCAUCACUGGGGAAACUGAGGCACGGGGCCAUGAAGGGAUCAGAGCUGGGGAUAAGACCCAGGUUUGCAGAGGCUCAAGUUGAUGUGCGUCAGAGGUCUGAUUAAAUCAAGAGAUUUGCAAGUUUAAGUGACCUAUAGCUCGACGACUUUGACCAGUUGCUGCUAGAAGGUUACAGCUGCCCUGGGCAGGGUCCUGCCAGACCAGGCGGCAUCUUGCAAGGUGCCCACCGGAGAUUAACGAGCAGUGGACUAAGGGCAGAGGCGGCACAGUUGAGCUCCGCUCAUCCCAACAAAUAAGAACAUGGUUUUAAUCAAUAGAAAAGCGCCGGCAGCAAGCGGGAGGCUUUGGCCAAGGAAAAUACUGAAAUAUUAGUCUGCUCUCUGUGGUGAAAGCAGCUAACUGGCUUAUGUGGCUUCAAAAAAAAAAUAAAAAAGUACUAAUG